ACUUUUACUUCUUAAUAAGACAAUUUAUUUACAUUUUGUGUGGGUCAAAAUUAGGCUAAAAUAGAGUCAAAAUCAGAUUAGUUUCGGUUAAAUUAGGGGUAAAUCAAAUCGGAUGUAUAAUUAUCGGUUAACUGGUCGGUUCAAUUGGAGGCGUAGUUUUAAGAAUAAAUCCGAAAGUACAUGUAGUUUUAUCGAGAUUAAAAUUGUUUAUGGAGGUUUUUCAAGUGGCUAAAAGUUUAGGGUGGAAAGUUGAGAUUCCAACUAGUAUAUGGCUGAAAAUUCAGGCAACCCAAUUAAAAAGAAAGAUUAUGAGUUUUGUUGAGAAGAAAACACGUGCAAUAAAGAGCUUUUUGGUUUCUUCUUUUGUGUUCACUCUGGAAAAGAUGUUUCAGAAACAGAGGAAUUGCAGAGUGUAGCA
rnacentral:sRNA from 1 species